CGGUUGGUCGCGUGGGUGACUUCCCAUUGCUAGAGAAUGCCAUGGAAUGGCCCUAUUUUACCCGCCUGGGACUGCGCGAGGGUCCUACGUUCGGCCGGGUUAGCUUGUCAGUUGCUGGGUUCGUCUUUGUGUUGGUUGCGCGUCGCUUCGUCCCGUGAAAAUAUCUCCACCCAAUCCCUACCCUGGACGGGCAAUCCCCAAUCCCCGUUCACCCAAUAGCUCCCCCAAUGGCUGCCUCCUCCACCCCAUUCUCCUCCUCUGCAUCGGCGCCGCCGUCCCCCAGCCUCCUCCUCCGCGUGGGCUCCGCCGCUGCCUAUCCUCCUCCCGUGCUCCUCCUCGCCUUGCUCGUGCUCUUCUCUUCCCACCGCCCCUCCCUCCUCCUCCGGUACUGGAGAAGAACCGGCUGCGGCCCCGUCAAGGAUGAUGUCCUCCGCUCGCCGGGAGGCCUUCAGGCGCAGGGAGGAGCACACGAGGGGCCGCCGGGAAGAGGGGAAGGUCUGCAAGGUGCCAUGGCUAGAGGAGGCAGAGCUUGACGUGGGGGAACAUGCGAGUGAGAUGUGGAACGGCGGAGGGGUUCGGCCUCCACCGCCACCAUUCUCGAGCGGCGGCUACAGGGAGCGUGCGGUAGCUGUGCCGGUGGAGAGCACCCGAGCAACGUCGAUGGAUGGACACGGCGGCCGCAGCAAGCGCUGGGCGACGGCGACAGCAGCUGCAGGGAGGGCUCGGGCGAUGGCGGUGUCUAGAAGCCAGGACCUGCUCCAGAAAGUUCCAGAUCGAGGAAGAAAGCUGCGGCGGGCAAGCAGCAAGAAGGUGGCGACGCGGAGAGGGAAGAUCGCGUCAUGGUGUAUGGUCGUCAUCUUCCAGGUGUAUGAUACUUUUUCCUUUUUAGGUGUUCCUUGCGAGGUACUUCAAAAAUUAUGUUCACAUACGAGAUGGAGCCUUGUGCUUAUUAUACCUUUCUUCGUGAGAUUCUGGUUCUUUUUUUUCAGAUAUUGGCCGAGGUGUGUGGAAUAUGAUGGAAUUAAUUAUGGGAUGGCCUCUGCCUUCUCUACUUCCUCCUCCAUCGAGCUAUUGUAACUGCAGCAAUGGCACACACAUGGGGACGGCACUGAUCAACGACGACAUACAUAGCCGUGUUGAAGGGGUCGCUGCCUCUCCCAACCUUGAUGUGAUGCUCGGUGGUUCCUCCAUCUGAAGAUUCACAUUGACUGUGCACUGGUGGUGAGGUGCGAGAUGAAAGUCGUACCUUCGUCGCGUCGACAUGAGGCAGCGAUGUCUCACGCAGUCAACGCCGGUGCAGCCAUUACCUGAAACAGCGCCGACUCAUGUUGGUUGAUGUUGUUGUCGCCGAGAUCAGCGCCUCCUCACGCCAUUGAGCCCGCAAGCAGCAUCGUGGCGAGUCCACGGCUUGCAUCAGCCCAAAUUGCUAGGUCACCAGCACUCAAGCCAGAGUAUAUUGGUAACAUUCUCAUGGAAAUCCUAUUUAAAGAUUAUUCAGGCUGGUUUUAUAUUAGUACUUAAGCGCUUGGACUUGGAGCAAUGGCCAAUGAGGUGUGUUGGAGUGUGUCGUAGGUGCAAACUUUGGUUUGUAUUGCAAUUGGGUGAGCUCUCAAUGUGUCAUUUGUUUUUCAAUUGGUCAAAUAAUUUCUGGACCAACUUAUUACCACGAGCAUUUCUGGUUGCCCCUGUUGGUUCCUCUAAAUAUCAAGGUUGUAUGUUCCACGUGAAGGACCUAAAAGUGAACUUUGACUUCUACUCGUGCGUGAUAGGCAUGUUGUGUAAAAUGCUACUCCCUCCGAUCCUUUUCUAAUUGACUCAAAUUUAGUACAAAUUUGUACUAAAUUUGAGUCAAUUAAAAGAGACCAGAGGGAGCAUCUGUUUGGUACCCAUCAUCAGCCAUUACACUUAUGUAUACAAAUUCAUUGGCAAGUACUUUAAUCGAGGGUGGCCUCACUAAUAUUCAGGCAUGUGCUUCAAUGCUUCUUUUUUGUUUUCUACAAUACUACUAUUUUUCUGAAACCAUGUGCGUUUAGUUCUUGCAUCGUGCUAUCGAGUGGAAUGCUUGAUUAGCAAUUACAACCAAACAAAAAAGAAGUUCAUGCAGUGUGCUUGCUUUUUAACCAUGAUUUCAAAUCUAUAUAUUGAAUGGCAAGUUUACUAUUUGUGUAUAUACCUGAUAUGGAUGAGUCAAGGAGGCGCUGUCCAUAAGUUAAGGAA